UACGAAGGGGGCUAGCGUUGCUCGGAAUUACUGGGCGUAAAGCGCACGUAGGCGGUCUUUUAAGUCGGGGGUGAAAUCCUGGAGCUCAACUCCAGAACUGCCUUCGAUACUGGAAGACUUGAGUCCGGGAGAGGUGAGUGGAACUGCGAGUGUAGAGGUGAAAUUCGUAGAUAUUCGCAGGAACACCAGUGGCGAAGGCGGCUCACUGGCCCGGUACUGACGCUGAGGUGCGAAAGCGUGGGGAGCAAACAGG
rnacentral:rRNA from 1 species